CACACGGCCCCGCCGCCCGAAACAGCCCGAGCCUCACGACUUCUUACAUGUCAGUGCCGGGCACAAGGAUGCACCUUCAGCUGCUGAAGUGUCAGAAAAGUCUGUGGUUUCUCGUUCCCUGUGAGACAGCUGUCGUGACGCCAAGCACAACUCUGACUUACAAUGCAUUACAUCAAGUAAAAAAAUACUUCUUAUUUUAAGAAAAAGGCACAAACACGAAAGCUCUGAUAAGUGGCACUGGUUUUAAAUUCCGCUGUAAAGGCAAAUCACUGGGAGGAAGCCAGCGUUUGACAGCUACGGGCUUUCACUGAACGGCUGCUCUGGAGCCCCAGAUUCUGGUCAAAUCAGGGAGCCGGUAAAUGCAUUCCCCACCUUCGCUGCUGCUCCCAGGGAGUUCUUCUCCAGCCGUGGCCCUUCUCCAGCUCAGCCCAGGGCCGGGGCCGUGCUGCUGCGAGGGCAGGGUGAGAGGUGGUCCCACGCACCUCGAGCCUGACCUGCCUCAGACAGGAUUAGUAAACGGAGCAGCUAACCUUUGGAAAAGUUUGCUUACCAAGGUGGAAAUGGGGCUGCAGCACGACAGGUUUUCCAUCACCCAGUCAGUCCAGCUGGGUGAACGAGAAGAAACUGGCAGUGAUUCAGCCGGUGGGGUCUGAGGUGCUCCAUCUCAAAACCUGAGCGGCAGCUCCCCAGAGCUGUCAGCUCCAGCACCAGGAGCCCACCCCAGACAGUCCUGGACAGUGACAGAUUUUGUACACUCAUCCCCCACAGCACCCAUUGCUCAAGACACCCCCAUCAGCGACGGGGCACAGGGAGGGAAGCGGAUUGAUUGCCUGGGGAAGGAAUUAGAACCAUGAGCUCCUGCCAGUGACCUGUCUUUGGAUGUCUGGCAGCCACAAGUGACAGCACAGCAGCUGUUAAAUCCCUACAUUCACAGAGGUCUUCCUACGAGAUCAUUUUCCUUAAAUCUGGGUUAGACACACAUUUUCGUAAUAAGAAAAGCAGCUUCUUGAUUCUUUUAUACGUGGCAAGCAAAAUACUUUCCCAGUCCCAUCCUUUGAGUUGAUGGUUCACUGAUACUCAGUAAGGUGGUUCUCUUUCAAUAGCAAAACCAGACUAUGAGAAGAGAGGUGGAAAGCAGACUAUCUAAUCUAAUCUUUACUCCAAGUUAGGAGUCUUGAUCAUAACAAAAUACCAGCACCAGAUCCCCUGCAGAGAUUAUCUGUAACAGGGCUGGUAUGCCUCAUGUGCUGAAGUUCUUCACAAAUACACCAGCUCCUACUUCAAAAAAGACAACAGAAACAAGAAAGGCACGAAAAGAGAGAUAAUACAAAAGAACAUCUCUCAUUCUGAACAGCUCCCAGUUCAAGAGAGGGGAAAAUGAGGACACCCCACCUUGGGUCUCAGCUGCUGAGCAUUCACAGCAAGGUACCACAAACAUUUGUCAGGGCUAGCACACAUUGGACAGGAAGGAAAGAAGAAAAAGGACAACUAAGUGGAAACCAUAACAAUAAGUAAGAAACAACAGUUCCUAUCCUCCCCUUUGGGUCUCUAUCCUACAAAUUCUCCAAGAAAGCACAGCAACACAGACCUCUCACCUUAUUCUGUAUCUCUGUUUUGGUUGGAGUCUCUCCUAGGGCUAAGAAAAGGAAAACCCUGUGACACGACUCUCCAAGCUGCCGUGGCUUCUGUGUCAGCUCCAAAGCCUGGCAAGCCCUGAUGCCACCCCAGCGUGGGUAUCACCAUGACAGAGCAACAAGCACCAGCUGCUGCAGCACUAGAAAUAAGCCAUGGGGAGAGGUGAUGAUGAAGGUGACAAAUCUGAAGUGUAAAAUAACAAACUACUCAGAGGAGCAUUUCUAGCUAAAUAUUUUUACUAAGUAUAAAUUGAACCUAAAAUGCCUUUGUAUUAGACCUGCAUCUCCACUGCAUUAAAUUUCGACAAGCUGCCACAGUCUUCCUGCAGUUCCAGCCUCUUUUUCACAUCCCCAGUACAAGUGUGAGGUUGCUAUUGGCACUGACAGCAUCAUCACACCCAAAGCCAACAUAAGCAAUGUUAAAAGCUUUCCCUCUUCGGUCUCAGAGCAGUGUCCAGCACCAACUUCUCUUUGCCACCACGGGAUCAGGUAAGAGCUUUGCUCUGUGGUCCAUACCACACAAGCUUAGCUAGCAGCCAAAGGUCUCCCUGUCCCUGGGAAUAAGGCUUGCUUCUGGCUUGGCUGCUGGAGGUAUGUGAACAUCUGCCUGCUCCUUAGUCAGCAACUAAAUAAAACAAGAUAAAAGACAAUUCCUAUUUGAGACCCAUAUAAUGUGAAUUACUAAGACUGGUUUCCAUGGCAUUAAGGCUGGCACCUUCCUUAUCACUUCUGUCCAUUCACUUUGUCUGACCCAGGGCUAAAUUAGAAGCCUGUAGUUGUUAAAGGAGGCAAAGCUCUGGAGAGCUGUGCCACACACAGCUCCACCAAACACAGGCAGCACUGUGGUAACAUACAGGUAUGCUCACCAUCACUCCUCUGAACAUUGCCACAAAUGUUUAGUGAGAUGGUGAUGUCCCCACACUACUAACUGCUCGCUGCCAUUGCUUCCAUUUAGCAUUUGGGCUCACUCUCUGCAAACUGGACUUUUUUUUCCUAGUAAGGACACCUUUAUCACAUCGAUCUUACCUUAUCCCCAGACAGAACCACAGUGAAAGUGUUUAUGGUCAAAGGUUAGAUUCCUUUUAUGUGUAUGUUAAUAAAUAAAUACGGGUAGCCCAAACAGCCAAGGAAUGCUAACACCAUUACCAGGAUGAGAAGGUUUGGGUGUUUUUUCACUUUGGGGUAGCUUCUACUUAGGUACUUAACCUUGGAGUUAAUAACUACCCAACUCUACACAGCUUGUGAAUACUUUUUCCCCCAAGGUUUCACUCAAUUCGAAGUCUACUUAAGCUGCCUGUCACCAUUUUUUCCCUCAUGAGAAUUUAUCCCCUUCUCCCCUUA